rnacentral:rRNA from 1 species
GACCAUCCUCCAAGGCUAAAUACUCGUAAUCGACCGAUAGCGAACCAGUACUGUGAAGGAAAGGCGAAAAGAACCCCGGGAGGGGAGUGAAAUAGAUCCUGAAACCGCAUACAUACAAACAGUAGGAGCCCGCAAGGGUGACUGCGUACCUUUUGCAUAAUGGGUCAGCGACUUACGUUCAAUGGCAAGCUUAACCGAGUAGGGGAGGCGCAGCGAAAGCGAGUCCGAACAGGGCGACAUGAGUCGUUGGGCGUAGACCCGAAACCAGAUGAUCUAUCCAUGGCCAGGCUGAAGGUGUGGUAACACACACUGGAGGGCCGAACCGACUAGUGUUGCAAAAUUAGCGGAUGAGCUGUGGAUAGGGGUGAAAGGCUAAACAAAUCUGGAGAUAGCUGGUUCUCCCCGAAAACUAUUGAGGUAGUGCCUCGUGUAUGGCUCCAGGGGGUAGAGCACUGUUAUGGCUAGGGGGACAUGGCGUCUUACCAAACCAUGGCAAACUCCGAAUACUUGGAAGUCUGAGCACGGGAGACAGAGCACCGGGUGCUAACGUCCGGACUCAAAAGGGAAACAACCCAGACCGCCGGCUAAGGUCCCUAAUAUUGACUAAGUGGAAAACGAAGUGGGAAGGCUAAGACAGUCAGGAAGUUGGCUUAGAAGCAGCCAUCCUUCAAAGAAAGCGUAAUAGCUCACUGAUCGAGUCUUCCUGCGCGGAAGAUGUAACGGGGCUAAGUCAAUAACCGAAGCCGCGGAUUCGCAGCAAUGCGAGUGGUAGGGGAGCGUUCUGUAAGCCUGCGAAGGCGGAUCUGCGAGGACCGCUGGAGGUAUCAGAAGUGCGAAUGCUGACAUGAGUAACGUUAAAGCGGGUGAAAAGCCCGCUCGCCGCAAGCCCAAGGUUUCCUGCUCUACGUUCAUCGGAGCAGGGUGAGUCGGCCCCUAAGGUCAGGCUGAGAAGCGUAGCUGAUGGGAAGCUGGUUAAUAUUCCAGCACCGAUUUCAAGUGCGAAGGGGGGACGGAGUCCUGAAGGUCAUCCGGGUGUUGGACAUCCCGGUUUACGAGCGUAGGAGGUUGACAGGCAAAUCCGUCAACGAAUCUCCAAGGCGAAGGAUCGAGGUUGAGAGAUCAACUGAAGUGACUGAAUGGGCUUCCAGGAAAAGCCUCUAAGCAUCAGCUUGGAAUUGACCGUACCGCAAACCGACACUGGUGGGCGAGCUGAAUAUGCUCAGGCGCUUGAGAGAACUCAGGAGAAGGAACUCGGCAAAUUGACACCGUAACUUCGGGAUAAGGUGUGCCUUUGUAGUGUGAAGGGAGAAACACCCCGAGCAUGAAGAGGCCUCAGAGAAUCGGUGGCUGCAACUGUUUACUAAAAACACAGCACUCUGCAAAGAUGAAAGUCGACGUAUAGGGUGUGAUGCCUGCCCGGUGCUGGAAGAUUAAUUGAUGGGGUGCAAGCUCCUGAUCGAAGUCCCAGUAAACGGCGGCCGUAACUAUAACGGUCCUAAGGUAGCGAAAUUCCUUGUCGGGCAAGUUCCGACCUGCACGAAUGGCAUAAUGAUGGCCACACUGUCUCCUCCUGAGACUCAGUGAAGUUGAAAUGUUUGUGAUGAUGCAAUCUCCCCGCGGCUAGACGGAAAGACCCCAUGAACCUUUACUGCAGCUUUGCAUUGGACUUUGAACCGAUCUGUGUAGGAUAGGUGGGAGGCAGUGAAGCUAGGACGCCAGUCUUAGCGGAGCCAACCUUGAAAUACCACCCUGAUUUGUUUGAGGUUCUAACCUAGGAGCGUAAUCCGCUUCGGGGACCGUGCAUGGUAGGCAGUUUGACUGGGGCGGUCUCCUCCUAAAGGGUAACGGAGGAGUGCGAAGGUACGCUAGGUACGGUCGGAAAUCGUGCUGAUAGUGCAAUGGCAAAAGCGUGCUUGACUGCGAGACCGACAAGUCGAGCAGAUACGAAAGUAGGUCAUAGUGAUCCGGUGGCUCUGCAUGGAAGGGCCAUCGCUCAACGGAUAAAAGGUACUCUGGGGAUAACAGGCUGAUACCGCCCAAGAGUUCAUAUCGA